GAUCCUGGCUCAGAAUCAACGCUGGCGGCGUGCCUCAGACAUGCAAGUCGAACGAUUAAGACUUCCUUCGGGAAGUGCAUAAAGUGGCGCACGGGUGAGUAACACGUAAGUAAUCUACCUUCGAGUGGGGAAUAACGUCCGGAAACGGACGCUAAUACCGCAUGAUGCAGCGGCAUCGUAAGAUGACAGUUGUUAAAGGAGCAAUUCGCUUGAAGAGGAGCUUGCGGCAGAUUAGCUAGUUGGUAAGGUAAUGGCUUACCAAGGCUACGAUCUGUAACCGGUCUAAGAGGACGGUCGGUCACACUGACACUGAAUAACGGGUCAGACUCCUACGGGAGGCAGCAG
rnacentral:rRNA from 1 species